GAGAGAGAGAAGAAGAAGAAGAAGAAAGAGGGAAAAUGGCGGGAGCCUUGGCUUCGCCAGAAGCCCUAAACCCUAGCCUCAUCAUCAAGGCCCUUCCGGUGGCCAUGGCGCUCGCCCUCUCUACUGUGACUUCUCGUCCUUAUGCCCAAUUUGUUCUUGCGAUUGCUCCUCCCAGGUUCCCAGCUACUCCUCUCACUCCCUCAAGAAUUGGGGAAUGUCUCAUUGUCAGAUUGUGUGAAACGUGAUCCCGACGUCAAUGAAAAAAUGGAGAAGAGUUUCACUGAACUCCACAUGGAAGAACUGAUGCUAAGAGAAGCAGAAACAAUAGACGAUCAUCGUCGUGCCGACUGCUGAGUUGAUGCUACUUGAGGCUAAAAAGAUGACAUCUCAGGGAUGGAUACAUCAUACAUGUGAUGAAGCCAGGGAAAGAGAUGAAGGCACAUUACUGGAACAAGAGAAACUUACUGCGUUAUGGCAAAUGCGGGCUAAACAAAGAGGAUGGAAAACAAUCUUGAGAAGUUGUCCUCAAUCUCAGGUCCAAACACAAUACAAAAGUACUAUAAAAGAAGAGCAUCUGGAACCAGCGUGAGCUUUUGUGGGAUGCGCCGAGAGAGAGAGAGAGAGAGAGAGAGAGAGAAGGGAAGAGGUUCUUGAAGUGGCGAACGCGGGGGGUGAGACGUGUGGAAACGAAAACCAAGCGAUAUCUGAUGGAAUUCGAUGUAUAAUCAUCCAUCAUAUGAUGCGAUUCUUAUUAUAGUUUUCAAUCUGAAUCUCAUUCCCCCACCAUUUGUCCGCCGCUCGAUCCGUGCUCUUCAUCUCACUUUCUUUCUUCUACUAGAUCUCUUUUUCUUUCUCCUCCUUCGCUUGGUGCUCCCACAUGGCCUUGUGAUUGUACCCAGCGGCGCCUUAGGGCUAAUUUUGCCGCUCUGAAGGCCAUUAUUGAUUUUUUUUUCUUUUUUAAUUUCGAUUUGAGCGAUAUUCUUCGUACUCUAUUUUGAUGGCUAGGAACUGGGAUUGAAGAAUCAGGUUUUUCCAUGAGUUCUUCUAUAUAUUAGUCUUUAGACAAAAAAAAAAAAACUCUUUUGGGGUUUUCCAUCGGUCUUUCGUUCCAAUCGUAUUCUAAUUUUCUGCUUUCUUAUUUUUAUGGAAUAUAAGAAUUAUUAUUUUUUUAAUGACAAUAUGUUCCGGAAAACAAAGUUUUCACUUUUCCCCCCAAA